AGCACGCCGCGUGAGGGACGACGGCCUUCGGGUUGUAAACCUCUUUUAGUAGGGAAGAAGCGAAAGUGACGGUACCUGCAGAAAAAGCACCGGCUAACUACGUGCCAGCAGCCGCGGUAAUACGUAGGGUGCAAGCGUUAUCCGGAAUUAUUGGGCGUAAAGAGCUCGUAGGCGGUUUGUCGCGUCUGCUGUGAAAACUGGAGGCUCAACCUCCAGCCUGCAGUGGGUACGGGCAGACUAGAGUGCGGUAGGGGAGAUUGGAAUUCCUGGUGUAGCGGUGGAAUGCGCAGAUAUCAGGAGGAACACCGAUGGCGAAGGCAGAUCUCUGGGCCGUAACUGACGCUGAGGAGCGAAAGCAUGGGGAGCGAACAGGAUUA
rnacentral:rRNA from 1 species